UCAUUUUUAGUCAUUUCACGG
rnacentral:piRNA from 1 species